rnacentral:misc_RNA from 1 species
CGCACAUUGCGCCCUUUGGUAUUCCGAAGGGCAUGCCUGUUCGAGCGUCAUUGCACACCUCAAGCUCUGCUUGGUGUUGGGCCUCCGUCCGCUGCGGGCGGGCCUCGAAAUCCUCGGCGGUGGUGCCCGGCUUUGAGCGUAGUAGAAUCUCUUUCUCGCUUUGAAAGUCCGCGGCGCGGCUUGCCGGACGACAACCCCGGUCUUUCCAAAAGGUUGACCUCGGAUCAGGUAGGGAUACCCGCUGAACUUAA